rnacentral:rRNA from 1 species
GAUGAACGCUGGCGGCGUGCUUAACACAUGCAAGUCGAACGAUGAAGCCCAGCUUGCUGGGUGGAUUAGUGGCGAACGGGUGAGUAACACGUGAGUAACCUGCCCUUAACUCUGGGUUAAGCCUGGGAAACUGGGUCUAAUACCGGAUAGGAGCGUCCACCGCAUGGUGGGUGUUGGAAAGAUUUAUCGGUUUUGGAUGGACUCGCGGCCUAUCAGCUUGUUGGUGAGGUAAUGGCUCACCAAGGCGACGACGGGUAGCCGGCCUGAGAGGGUGACCGGCCACACUGGGACUGAGACACGGCCCAGACUCCUACGGGAGGCAGCAGUGGGGAAUAUUGCACAAUGGGCGCAAGCCUGAUGCAGCGACGCCGCGUGAGGGAUGACGGCCUUCGGGUUGUAAACCUCUUUCAGUAGGGAAGAAGCGAAAGUGACGGUACCUGCAGAAGAAGCACCGGCUAACUACGUG